CCUGGGCAAAUUUUGCUUCACCAUCUUCCAGCAAUUAAGAUGCUGGAUUCACAUACACCUGUGUUCUAUUCUUCAGAAUCCUUCUGCGUGUGAUGUUCUCUGGAGGGUUUCCCCAUGUACCCAGUCAUCUGAGGUUUUGUGCUUUAAUCCUGACUGUUCUUUGAUAUGCUAUGCUGCAAGUCAGACCAAUUGCAUCACAAUUUUUG